UUAACCGCCUCUACAACCCUUAUCCGACCCCUCUAGACUAUAUCCACCCUUUGUAUAGCCUAAUGUCAUCAAAAGACUAGAUAGGGACGGAUAUUUACCUUUUUCUUUUUGGAAAUCGAGGUCCUUGCGUAGAGGGGAAGGAGAUCUACGUUUUUUCCUUCAGCUAGAAGUGCAACCGGGAUCUCCUUCCUCUUCCUUUCUUCCUUUCCUUUCCUCUUUCUUUCUUCCUUUCCUUUCCUCUCCUUCUUUUUCUUCCUCUCUGUCCAUCUGAGACUCCCUUGUGACUCUCUCUCGGUUUCCAUCCAAAAGCCACACAAACCCCCUAAUUAAAUCACAUCAAAACACUAUUCACCCUUUGUUUAAUAUUAUUAAAUUCCCAUUUUGCUCCUAACACUUCAACAUAUCUACCGUUAUGCCAUUAACUUUUGAUUCCUUCCAAUUUUACCCUUACCACUUCAAUGUAUCUACAACUAUGCCAUUAUCUUUUGAUUCUUUCCUAUUUUACCCCUUAUAUUAAUUGAAAAGGACUAUUCUAUCC
rnacentral:lncRNA from 1 species